GAGGCAAUUGGAGAAGCAAUUAAGUCUCCAGAGUCCACUGAUUUAGAAAAUAUAUCAUUCAUAGGCAGGGUUAUGUAAGAGCACUGGAGGAAAGAAAAAACACAAUAAUAACAACAGCAACGAAAUAAAAGCUACUCAUAAUAAGAUGGCGGCAAUUAAGUCACUAGAAUUCAUAGAUUAUGAAAUAUAUUACUAGAAGCAA
rnacentral:lncRNA from 1 species